CUUUUUCUUGGUAUGCUUGGGGUCAAUCUAAAACCCUAACAGCAACAGCGGCAACGACAAACCUAAUCUCAACUGAAACUCCUCCCUCUCUCUUUUUCAUUUCAGAGGGACUGAAUUGCUUGACAUAUGGAGAUUUAGGGUUUGUAAAGGAAGAAAAGCUGGUUGUUUAUGUCCAUUGAUUAAUGGGUUGAUGACGAAUUGAAGAUGAAGCUAAGAAAUCAGAGAAGAAGAAUUCAAGGGUCUGCCGAAGAGAUGUAUGUUGCUGUCGUAGAAGAAUUGAAGCGCCAUCACUAUUUUUUCCUAUUUGUGGGAUUGGGGUUCUGAAUGUCAAUAUAUAAACCAUAGUUGUUUUGUUUGAUAGAUGGUUGGCUGAUUGAAGGGUUUCAUUUGUGUUCUGAUGCUGAAUUUGAAGGUUGUAGUUCUUUGUAUGCAAUUAGAGGUGGAUAAUGGAUAAUGAUCCUGUUAUUUUUUUUUUUUUUUUUUGAGGGAAUACAGUGAAGUUGUUAAUCAAUUUGUAAAAUUGUGGGUAAAAAUCCGGUA